UGAAAUGACCGCUACUGCUCCUUCACAGUAUAUUUACAUGAGCUUCCUGUAGACAUCAGUGCCAUUUAAAAUUAAGUUUCGUUUCACUUCUUCCAGGCUGGAACACAGAUGUGGGGCUGGAAGUGGAGCAGCCCCUUUUAGCCAUGAGGCCCAAAGCCACGUGCUAAGGAUGGUGAAGCAGGGGAUAGAAAGAGCCUGUGUCUUUGCUGACUUCCUUAAGCCAUGGCACCAGCCUGGGCCUGCCCUACUCUGGACAUCUAAAUGUCAGGAGCUAAGAAUCAAGUCAGUCUAGAGGUGUUGGUUGUCAUGUGGAGAGAUCCUUCCCAAGAAGAAAGAUGCUACAAAGUGUCCUGGAAAUCCUCUUUGCCCCUCCAGAUCCAUCCUCCCUACCCUGCUCUGUGCCUCAGGAAGCUGCUUUUCAUGGUUCACAUCAACCAGGCUCCUGUACCCUCCAGAUGGGUCCAUCCUAUGGG
rnacentral:antisense_RNA from 1 species